AGAGUUUGAUCCUGGCUCAGAACGAACGCUGGCGGCGUGCUUAACACAUGCAAGUCGAGUGCGCGCCUGUAGCAAUACAGGUGGCGCACGGCGCACGGGUGCGUAACACGUGGGUAAUCUGCCCUCUGAUGGGGAAUAACCCGCCGAAAGGCGGGCUAAUUCCGCAUAAAAUUCCUUGGACUUAUGUUCGAGGACUCAAAGGCGUAAGUCGUCGGAGGAGGAGCCCGCGCACGAUUAGCUAGUUGGUAGGGUAAUGGCCUACCAAGGCUUUGAUCGUUAGCUGGUCUGAGAGGAUGGCCAGCCACACUGGAACUGAGACACGGUCCAGACUCCUACGGGAGGCAGCAGUGGGGAAUCUUGCACAAUGGGCGAAAGCCUGAUGCAGCGACGCCGCGUGGGGGAUGAAGCAUCUCGGUGUGUAAACCCCUUUCGAUCCGGACGAAUACCUCGCAAGAGGGGUGACGGUACGGAUAUAAGAAGCCCCGGCUAACUACGUGCCAGCAGCCGCGGUAAGACGUAGGGGGCCAGCGUUGUUCGGAAUUACUGGGUGUAAAGGGUUCGUAGGCGGUGUGGCAAGUUGGGAGUGAAAUCUCUGGGCUCAACCCAGAGGCUGCUUCCAAAACUGCUGUGCUUGAGUGUGAGAGAGGCUCGUGGAAUUGCAGGUGUAGCGGUGAAAUGCGUAGAUAUCUGCAGGAACACCCGUGGCGAAAGCGGCGAGCUGGAUCACUACUGACGCUGAGGAACGAAAGCUAGGGGAGCAAACAGGAUUAGAUACCCUAGUAGUCC
rnacentral:rRNA from 1 species